rnacentral:rRNA from 1 species
UGCAAGUCGAGCGGAAACGAGUUAUCUGAACCUUCGGGGAACGAUAACGGCGUCGAGCGGCGGACGGGUGAGUAAUGCCUAGGAAAUUGCCCUGAUGUGGGGGAUAACCAUUGGAAACGAUGGCUAAUACCGCAUGAUGCCUACGGGCCAAAGAGGGGGACCUUCGGGCCUCUCGCGUCAGGAUAUGCCUAGGUGGGAUUAGCUAGUUGGUGAGGUAAGGGCUCACCAAGGCGACGAUCCCUAGCUGGUCUGAGAGGAUGAUCAGCCACACUGGAACUGAGACACGGUCCAGACUCCUACGGGAGGCAGCAGUGGGGAAUAUUGCACAAUGGGCGCAAGCCUGAUGCAGCCAUGCCGCGUGUGUGAAGAAGGCCUUCGGGUUGUAAAGCACUUUCAGUCGUGAGGAAGGUAGUGUAGGUAAUAGCUGCAUUAUUUGACGUUAGCGACAGAAGAAGCACCGGCUAACUCCGUGCCAGCAGCCGCGGUAAUACGGAGGGUGCGAGCGUUAAUCGGAAUUACUGGGCGUAAAGCGCAUGCAGGUGGUUUGUUAAGUCAGAUGUGAAAGCCCGGGGCUCAACCUCGGAAUAGCAUUUGAAACUGGCAGACUAGAGUACUGUAGAGGGGGGUAGAAUUUCAGGUGUAGCGGUGAAAUGCGUAGAGAUCUGAAGGAAUACCGGUGGCGAAGGCGGCCCCCUGGACAGAUACUGACACUCAGAUGCGAAAGCGUGGGGAGCAAACAGGAUUAGAUACCCUGGUAGUCCACGCCGUAAACGAUGUCUACUUGGAGGUUGUGGCCUUGAGCCGUGGCUUUCGGAGCUAACGCGUUAAGUAGACCGCCUGGGGAGUACGGUCGCAAGAUUAAAACUCAAAUGAAUUGACGGGGGCCCGCACAAGCGGUGGAGCAUGUGGUUUAAUUCGAUGCAACGCGAAGAACCUUACCUACUCUUGACAUCCAGAGAACUUUCCAGAGAUGGAUUGGUGCCUUCGGGAACUCUGAGACAGGUGCUGCAUGGCUGUCGUCAGCUCGUGUUGUGAAAUGUUGGGUUAAGUCCCGCAACGAGCGCAACCCUUAUCCUUGUUUGCCAGCGAGUAAUGUCGGGAACUCCAGGGAGACUGCCGGUGAUAAACCGGAGGAAGGUGGGGACGACGUCAAGUCAUCAUGGCCCUUACGAGUAGGGCUACACACGUGCUACAAUGGCGCAUACAGAGGGCGGCCAACUUGCGAAAGUGAGCGAAUCCCAAAAAGUGCGUCGUAGUCCGGAUUGGAGUCUGCAACUCGACUCCAUGAAGUCGGAAUCGCUAGUAAUCGUGGAUCAGAAUGCCACGGUGAAUACGUUCCCGGGCCUUGUACACACCGCCCGUCACACCAUGGGAGUGGGCUGCAAAAGAAGUAGGUAG